GGAUGUAUGUGCAGUUGUUCAGGAAAGCAUGACAGUAUCCUCAGCUUAUACUCGGUCAAAAAAUGUUGUUCAAUACUGAAAAGCCAAAGAAUGUAUGUGCAGUUGUUCAAAAGCUGAGGUACAAGAGGGUCAUGCUAGCAUAAAAUCAUUGACCGCUGGUGCCUGGAGAUCAACGCCUGUUUAUACCCUUGGCCGUGUUU